AUUUAUUGUCUCCAGUACUUGCCACAUUUAGACCACUAGGAGGUGAUGUUGACUGAAUCGGGGAAGAAGCUGCUCCCUGUUGCCCACGGUUACGGAUGAGCCCCAGAGGGAAGCAGAGGACGCUGGGAUGCCCGAUGCCCCAAGUGGGAGGAGCUCUGCUCUGGAGGCGGUCCGCUCCUCUUUAUGCCCCGCCCAUCGCUCUCUGCUCCAGCGAAUCCUGAGGCUCGCCCACCAGCAGCACCGUCUAUCGUUGGCCUACAGGGACGCACAUCGCCGUCUCGUCCCGCCCCCAGACCCUCUCUGCGGCCACCUGGUGGCCAAACAACAGGACGACACUUCCUCUCCUCCUCCUCCUCCUUCUUUUACUGACUGUUGGAGCCGUAGUGCCACCGGAGCCACUCGUCAGCAGACUGACUGGAAGACACCAGGCGGUCCAGGCUGUUGCUGUGUGCAGCGCUGCAGGCUGCCUCCUGUCUGUUUCUGUCUUCAGAGCCUCCACUGCCUGUCCUGCCAGAGCCUAUCCCUGGGACACAUUACCACUGGGGUUCGCUCUUCCUCUUCUCUCUGCACUUUCACCUCCUCCCCUUCUCUUUCAUCCUCCGCUCUGUACCCUAACCCCUCGGUCUGUCCCGUGGCCUCUGUCUGUUGCUCCCACCCCCAGCCCUGCUCCAACCCCUCACCCUCACCCCCAGCCCUGCUCCAACCCCCACCCUCACCCCCAGCCCUGCGCCUCCUGCUGCUCAGAACACACCUACCUGGCCCCGGUCAGACGCACAGCCCAGGGAGGAGGAGGAAGAGCGGGAGGAGGAAGCGAGUGCCCUGUCCUCAAGAGAGAGCCAUCCCGCACCCCCUCUCCUCCCCCUCUCUCCCCCAUCCCCUCAGACAUGGACGGAAAGGAGGAAGACAAGCCUCCCUCUCUUCUGCUGCAGCAGCAGCAGCAGCAGGAGGGGGAAAAAGAGGAGGAGGCUGGGUGUGGUGGGGAGGUGGGCGAGGACAGGGAGCAGCAGGACCUGGUGGAGCGAUUCAGUGACAAACUAAAAACAAUCAGACCCCAGGAGAAGGAUCCCCACCUGACGACCUCGGCCAAUCGGCACGUGGCAGAGUCCCGGGCCGACGCCCACCUGAGUGAGAUCAUCACCACCGUUCUGAACACGGGCGGCGGCGGCGGCGACUACAGCCUAAACGACAUGUUGCAUCACCACGACAACGACGAGAGCCGGCCACCUCGGACACGUUCCCGGCGGCGACAGGAGGCCCUGGCUGCCAUGACGACUUUGCCCGACCAGUCGUCCACCCGGCGCCAGACCGUGCUAAUCAAACGGGAGCUGGCCAGGCUGAACCAAUCGCUGGGCAGGAGGCUGUCGCUAGGGAAGAACAAGAGCCGCAGUGCCAAGCCCUUUUCUACCUGCUCCUCACCUGAACCAACCCCUGUUACAGCCGAGAUGGACAGAAUCACAGAGGAGGGGGGAGAGACGGGUAGAGUGGAGGAGGGAGGGACGGAGAGGGUGAAGGAGGGAGAGACGGAGAGGGUGAAGGAGGGAGGGACGGAGAGGGUGAAGGAGGGAGAGACGGAGAGGGUGAAGGAGGGAGAGACGGAGAGGGUGAAGGAGGGAGGGACGGAGAGGGUGAAGGAGGGAGAGACGGAGAGGGUGAAGGAGGGAGGGACGGAGAGGGUGAAGGAGGGAGAGACGGAGAGGGUGAAGGA
rnacentral:lncRNA from 1 species